rnacentral:rRNA from 1 species
UACGGAGGGUGCUAGCGUUGUUCGGAAUUACUGGGCGUAAAGGGCGUGUAGGCGGCCGUUUGCGUCGGAUGUGAAAGCCCGGGGCUCAACCUCGGAACGGCAUUCGAUACGGGACGGCUGGAGACCGGGAGAGGAGAGUGGAAUAGCCAGUGUAGAGGUGAAAUUCGUAGAUAUUGGCUGGAACACCGGUGGCGAAAGCGGCUCUCUGGCCCGAUACUGACGCUGAGGCACGAAAGCGUGGGGAGCAAACAGG